rnacentral:rRNA from 1 species
GACGAACGCUGGCGGCGUGCCUAAUACAUGCAAGUCGAGCGAGGCUCUUCGGAGUCUAGCGGCGGACGGGUGAGUAACACGUGGGCCACCUGCCUGUAAGACUGGGAUAACACCGGGAAACCGGUGCUAAUACCGGAUAAUCCUUUUCCUCUCAUGAGGAAAAGCUGAAAGUCGGUUUCGGCUGACACUUACAGAUGGGCCCGCGGCGCAUUAGCUAGUUGGUGAGGUAACGGCUCACCAAGGCGACGAUGCGUAGCCGACCUGAGAGGGUGAGCGGCCACACUGGGACUGAGACACGGCCCGGACUCCUACGGGAGGCAGCAGUAGGGAAUCUUCCACAAUGGACGAAAGUCUGAUGGAGCAACGCCGCGUGAGCGAUGAAGGCCUUCGGGUCGUAAAGCUCUGUUGUUAGGGAAGAACAAGUACCGGAGUAACUGCCGGUACCUUGACGGUACCUAACCAGAAAGCCACGGCUAGCUACGUGCCAGCCGCCGCGGUAACAC